CGGACGGGUGAGUAAUGUCUGAGAAACUGCCUGAUGGAGGGGGAUAACUACUGGAAACGGUAGCUAAUACCGCAUAACGUCGCAAGACCAAAGAGGGGGACCUUCGGGCCUCUUGCCAUCGGAUGUGCCCAGAUGGGAUUAGCUAGUAGGUGGGGUAACGGCUCACCUAGGCGACGAUCCCUAGCUGGUCUGAGAGGAUGACCAGCCACACUGGAACUGAGACACGGUCCAG
rnacentral:rRNA from 1 species